rnacentral:siRNA from 1 species
GCUUAAAGGUGUGUUUGUCUUAUC